rnacentral:tRNA from 1 species
GGGGCUGUGGCUCAGUGGUAGAGCGCUUGUCUACCAUUCAUGAGGCAUUGGGUUUUAUCCCUAGCACCA